CGGGGCUCAACGCCUUGUAAUUGGAAUGAUGGGAACCUAAACCCCUUCCAGAGUAUCAAUUGGAGGGCAAGUCUGGUGCCAGCAGCCGCGGUAAUUCCAGCUCCAAUAGCGUAUAUUAAAAUUGUUGCAGUUAAAAAGCUCGUAGUUGAACUUCUGCGGCAUCGCGGCGGCCCCCGGGCCCGGCGUUGCGGCUUAUUUCGGACUUGCGUGCAUCUCCGAAUGGUUACUUUGAGAAAAUUAGAGUGCUCAAAGCAGGCCCUCGCCUGAAUACUUUAGCAUGGAAUAAUAAAGUAGGACUUUGGUUCUAUUUUGUUGGUUUAGCGCCAAAGUAAUGGUUAAUAGGAACAGUUGGGGGCAUUCGUAUUUAACUGUCAGAGGUGAAAUUCUUAGAUUUGUUAAAGACGAACCACUGCGAAAGCAUUUGCCAAGGAUGUUUUCAUUAAUCAAGAAC
rnacentral:rRNA from 1 species